rnacentral:lncRNA from 1 species
GUCAGGAAGGCUGCUCUCUGCCUCAGUUUGGUCAUCUGUAAAACGGGAACUUUGAUUUGCUCCCGGGGGGCUCCCGGGGCUGGGUCAGGAGAGGCGGCGGAGAGCGGUGCCGCCGAGCGGGCACCGUGGUGGUGCCCCCGGAGGCCUCUCAGAAUUCACCCGUCUGCCCUGUCGGAGCCCCGGGAGGCCCUCUGGAGUCACGGUGCCGAUGAGGAAGGGGAGACACAAAGACCACAGCGUCUGGCCCAGGGCCACACAGCUGGUGAGACCUCGGGCCCUGAUUUGGACGGCCUGAGAGCUGUCCACUGCGGCCGCUGCUUGGCUGGUCCCAGUGACGGGGCACUCACUGCUCCACAAGCCCCUGCCACAGGACUUGGUAGUGGGGUGACAGUCGCCGGGACAACGUGGAAAUGGAGAUGGGUGGAGGAUCCUGGGCUUGGCUUUGGGCCUGCCGGGAGCCCCCCUGUGAGGAGGUGGGGAGGGGGUCCCCUGCUCACACGGCGCCCAGGUGGGUGUCUCUCAUCCCCCCCUUCCCCCACAGAGCAGACCCAAGGCGGAGAGCGAACAGAGCUCCCAACAGGAGAGCAGACAGCAGGUGCACUGUGGGCCCUUGGGAUGGACGGAUCCCGUUCCCAAGGGGAAGGCAAGCCCCGAAGCCUGCGCGGGAACAGCCCCGCGUUGUCGGCCACCUGUCCAGGGACUGGCAGGGUCCCGUGUCUGCCUCACCCGGGAAUGUCCCGCGGAGACCUUUGCGCCGGCCCGGACCUCAAAGCUCCGGGGAACCCCUGGGCGUGGUGGCCACGCCCCUGCCCCAUGGGCCUGCCCAGUCUCGGUCUCAGGUUCCUCCCUGCGCAGGAGGCAGCAGGAAGCUGGGGGUGGGGGGGAGGGCCAGGGCAAGGGUGUGGGGGUGACGCACCUGGCCCGUGGCCACAGCCGCUUGGGUCCCAUCCCCCCCCAUACACGGCAGCUGCCGGGGUCUGUGGGCGCCUGGGCCCCACCCCCAUACACAUUCAGUGGCAGGAAGGGACUUGGAGAAUUCCGGAAAUGGAAUCAGAAGAUAGGUUCAUUUUAGGGCAAAGAAGUUUGAAAUCCACGCGUUCCCUCACAAGCCGGCGCCGUCUUCUCAGACUGGGUCCCACCAGAGUGCACCACAAGUGA